GUUUUCGUUAUCUUUUAGAAAAAAGUAGUGAGUCGUGUGGAAACCACUAAGAAACUGUAUUCGUGGGUUAGAUAAAAAGCGUGUCAGGGAUACGUUGUCUAGGUCUGGGACCUGGUGGGGAAAUCAGGGAUUUCUAGCCAACCUAAACGCUCUCUAUGGUCGUGGGUUAGAUUAAAAAUGUGUCAGGGAUACGUUGUCUAGGUCUGGGACCUGGUGGAGAAAUCAGGGAUUUCUAGCCAACCUAAACGACAGUCGUGGGUUAGAUUAAAAACGUGUCAGGGAUACGUUGUCUAGGUCUGGGACCUGGUGGGGAAUCGGGGAUUCCCAACAAACCUAAACGCUGAAAUCUGGGAUUUUCGUGGAGAGACAGUAAAUGGUGGAUUCGAUAGGAUUCACUAUAAACAAGAUAAGAACCUUUUAUUGAAUUAAAGUUAAAAUUAGAGGGGACGUCCCAGGCUCUCCUGAAACCGGGUGACGAAAUCCUGAUAAAGGUCAUCAAAAGAAAGUCCUGGGCGACACCCAAGUGGGAAGGACCGUUCCGAGUACUCAUUACCACCCCAACUGCGGUAAAAAUCGCAGAACGAAGCACCUGGAUACAUCAGUCUCAGUGCAAGAAGUUGACACCAGACGCUGCCCUUGAGUAAGUGGGAAGACGGACGGUAUCAAAACCCUUGUCCGCCGAAGAAACCAACAGACACUCACUCACCAGCCACA